rnacentral:rRNA from 1 species
AACGAACGCUGGCGGCAUGCCUAACACAUGCAAGUCGAACGAGACCUUCGGGUCUAGUGGCGCACGGGUGCGUAACGCGUGGGAACCUGCCCUUAGGUUCGGAAUAACUCCCCGAAAGGGGUGCUAAUACCGGAUAAUGUCUUCGGACCAAAGAUUUAUCGCCUUUGGAUGGGCCCGCGUUGGAUUAGCUAGUUGGUAGGGUAAAAGCCUACCAAGGCGACGAUCCAUAGCUGGUCUGAGAGGAUGAUCAGCCACACUGGGACUGAGACACGGCCCAGACUCCCGGGGGAGGAAGCAGGGGGGAAUAUUGGACAAGGGGCGAAAGCCUGACCCAGCAAGGCCGGGGGAGUGAGGAGGGCUUUGGGGUUGAAAAUCUCUUUUCCCCGGGAGGAAAAUGACAUUCCCGGGAAAAUAAGCCCCGGCUACCUCCGUC